CAAUGAACAUAUUUUAAUUAAAUAUUUUAAAUUUUUUGUGAUUGCACAAUAAGUCUCCUGAACGGAGAAAUGUUGAAGACGUACUGUUUGAAGUUAAAGAAAAUGUAAAUGGGCCUCAACUAAAGAUACCAGGAGGUUGAAUACUACAACAACGAACAGGAGAAGAUGUGUACCUAUAUGAUGUACCAGAGCACUGGAAUGAUUACAAGCAGGCUGCCACAUAUAGCAUGCAGAGUUAAAUUACCCUUCAUAUUUGGGAGUGAGAUGCUAAACAUACCAAAUAGCAAUCAUUGCACUCUAACAAGAGUAUCCU